rnacentral:rRNA from 1 species
UACGUAGGGGGGCAAGCGUUGUCCGGAAUUAUUGGGCGUAAAGAGCUCGUAGGCGGUGUGUCGCGUCGGCCGUGAAAACCUGCAGCUUAACUGUGGGCUUGCGGUCGAUACGGGCAUCACUGGAGUUCGGCAGGGGAGACUGGAAUUCCUGGUGUAGCGGUGAAAUGCGCAGAUAUCAGGAGGAACACCGGUGGCGAAGGCGGGUCUCUGGGCCGAUACUGACGCUGAGGAGCGAAAGCGUGGGGAGCGAACAGG